rnacentral:rRNA from 1 species
UACAGAGGUCUCAAGCGUUGUUCGGAUUCAUUGGGCGUAAAGGGUGCGUAGGUGGCGCGGUAAGUCGGGUGUGAAAUUUCGGAGCUUAACUCCGAAACUGCAUUCGAUACUGCCGUGCUUGAGGACUGGAGAGGAGAUUGGAAUUUACGGUGUAGCAGUGAAAUGCGUAGAGAUCGUAAGGAAGACCAGUGGCGAAGGCGGGUCUCUGGACAGUUCCUGACACUGAGGCACGAAGGCCAGGGGAGCAAACGGG